rnacentral:lncRNA from 1 species
CUCUUGCCACGGUAAGAAGCAAUUAUCACAUCCGCGCUUCAAAGCUAGUUAGUUUCUGUUACUAGUAAUCAUGUUUUCCAAGAAAAGCCUACUUUUUGCCUUCAUAUUUUUAAUCAUCCAGUUAUUUGCCACGGUGAUUUCGUUGCCUGCCACUGCGGAAACAAACUCCUCCUCACUUCCUUCAUGCCCUCCUCCAUGCAUGUAUCGGUUAGAAGGAGUGUGCCAUCGUUUGAAGGGAUGCCACUUUGGUCGGAAUCACUCGCACAAUUUCUAACAAAUGCGGAGCCAAACGCAUGUUCACGACAAAAUCAAGAGUUUGAUCAGUUUCACAGGAAUUAUUAGGGCCUCGUUAUUGCUAUCGUGUCAUAAACUUAGUAUAAAUAUAAAACUGUAAAAAUC